UGAGUUGUUAGCUCAGUUGGUAGAGCAACGGACUUUUAAUCCGUGGGUCGAGGGUUCAAGUCCCUCACAGCUCAUUGG
rnacentral:tRNA from 1 species